rnacentral:rRNA from 1 species
GACGAACGCUGGCGGCGUGCCUAAUACAUGCAAGUGAAGUUCAGUGGCGGACGGGUGAGUAACACGUGGGUAACCUACCCAUCAGAGGGGGAUAACACUUGGAAACAGGGUCUAAUACCGAAUAACGGGGGAUGGGCUCGCGGCCUAUCAGCUUGUUGGUGGGGUGAUGGCCUACCAAGGCGGUGACGGGUAGCCGGCCUGAUAGGGUAACCGGCAACAUUGGGACUGAGGUACGGCCCAGAGUACUACGGGAGGGAGCAGUGGGGGCUAUUGCACAAUGGGCGAAAGAGUGAUGCAGCGAGGCUGCGUGGGGGAUGAAGGCUUUCGGGUUGUAAACCUCUUUCGCUAGCGAACGGGUAGGUGGAGAAGAAGCGCCGGCUAACUACGUGCCAGCAGCCGCGGUAAUUC